rnacentral:lncRNA from 1 species
CCGCCUCGCCCCCGCGCCAGCCCGCCUGGGCCUCUGCGCCGCCGGCGGCUUCUUAAAUACAGGAAAGGGAGGGGACCGCAGGGCCCCGGUGUUCCCCACCCUAGUCCCCCUUCACCACGGGCCACCGGGCGCCAGCGGAGUGGGCAGCGAGCGCGACCGAAAGUUCCAACUCCACCAAACUCCCGCGCGCGGCCCACCCUUUCCCGGGAUUUCGGGGAUGACACGGGGGCCAGUGGUCCUGUCUGGUGUGAACCGUCAGCACAGAUGGCCUCCUGGAGCUUCCCCGAGUCGUUCGCUGGGGGAAGCGGGCGGUGAGCGGCCAGCCCGGGCGCUCCGCAGGCCGCGAGCUCCCGGCAGGGCUGGUGGCGGGGGUCCGCCUGGGGGAGGAAUCCCCGCCUGCUCCAUCGGACCCGGCCUGGCGCGGCUCGCGGCGCUCGGCGGGCUCCCUUCCAUUCUAGAAUCUUCCCGCUUGCUUCCCAGCCCGCGUUCUUCCGCCUGCCUUUAAUUGUAAGCAGACACAGGUUCCCACGGCGUCUGACGCCUGCGGAGCAAGUCCAGAGCCAGCUGGACUCGCAGCCUCUGGCCCGGCGGCACCAACUCCUCACUGGGUCAUUUUGAGCGCGCUGUGCCCACCUUUUCUGUUGCGUGUGGACGUGGGGAGGAUCUUCUAAGUCCCUCCAACGAAGGCAAGUGUGAGACUCUGGCCCUUUAUUUGUAAGAAGCAAGCCUUCAGAUUGCAGAAGUGUCGCGCGGGUCGCCGUGCGUUGCGCGAGUGGGAAGAUGGAGGAGGCCGGCACGCUGCUUUCGUGGACGCAAGUGAACCGGGCGUGAAGGCAGGGUGCGAGCUCUGCCCUUGGCCCAGCCCUGCGUGGGCGCCGUCCCAGAUUCCGGGCGGUGCGGGGUGCAGAGAUCUGGAGAGACUUGCGGGCUCCCCAGCGCAGGCUGCUCUGGGAUUUCGUUGGAAGAUCCGGCAGAGCCUUGGAGGAGAGGGCCCGGGAGGCUGUGUGUGCAGCGGAAACUUGUACGAAUGCCCCCACAGCGGAAAUGGUGCGCACGAGUAAUUUCUGCGGUGCACCCUUUUAAAAAUUGACAAGUGAACAAGAUCAAUUUUUUAAGAAAGCAAAGGUAGAAAACAAAAGGCGUGCGACUUCUUGACUGGCUUGUUCCCGCCUUUCUUCCUUCUCUAUACUCAGAUCAGAAACUUUUCUUUAAUUGCUCUUAUUCAGUGCGACAACUUUUAAUAAAAGCAUUUGCAUUUUAAGCCUGAGUUGCAACCAUAGAUUUAUUGCGAAGUGACAACGUGUCUAUGGAAUAUUUUCGCAGAUGAGACAGGACAUGCGCUCUAGUCGUGCCCAGAUUAAAGCGACGCUGGGCCAUGUGCCUGUGUAGUGCAGACUCGGAGGGGCACACACAUACUCGUCACCACAUGACCACUGUCUAUUAAUAUUGUCAUACCUAAACACUCGCAAAAACAAAAGUUGCUUUUCUUCCCUGUAAUUAAAUCUAAUUUGUUAAUUGUCUUUCCUCUUGCAAUGUUGUUUUCAUCUUGAGGUGACACAUUAUUAUUUUGUCUAAUAUUAUUUACAAAUUAAUGCUGUAUAUUUUACAUUAGUGAAACAUAUAAUUAGGUGUUUGGUUCAAUCGGUAUCAUUCAGAUAAAACAAAGCCUAUCUGCAAGAUUGAUUGGAAGUGGAGUAGUUGGUUCUAAUUUACCAUCACAGUCACAGUUUAUUGAAGCUACCUGGCCCCAGAUUCACAGAA